UGAAAUACUUGUUAACUAUAAAAUGGAAUGCUGAAACUUAUCCAUCAAGCUUUAAUCGAUAUAUGAUAUUAAAUUUUAAGACAAGAAAGGAAAAAUAAUUUUUUCAACAUAAGCUUGGCCUUUAUGGUUGAUUUCCACAAGCAUUCGUGAAGUCAGUAUUUACUGGGAUUAUUAUACUUCUAUUCGUUUAAUAAAACCCACAAAUAUAAUUAUCAGUAGACGAGAUAUACAUGAUGAUUAUAUCAAUCAAUAUUAAAUAGAGAACUAGGUAUAGAAAAAGCAGUUCACAGAAGUGUUCUUAGUAGAACAUAAAAAUCUACAACAGCAGAGCAUUUCAACUGGUAAAAUAUGGUGUAACAUGAAAAAUUAUUCAUUAGGAAAACUGUUCCAUGAAAUUACAUUUUUAAAAUUUAUUUGUGUACAUAAAAGGACUGCUACAGUCGCAACAGUUAAUAGAGUUGCUAACCAUAGAUAAAAAAAAAUUUGCAAAAGCGUUAGCACUCAACAGCUCAAAACAUAAAAAUGUCUAUUUGACUUUUUUUAAAUGGGAAAAUGUGCAGACAAAAAAAGUUUUCGUAAUGAUCAUAUAAAAUGUAAAACCACCAUAAUAGAUGGAGAACAUGGAUUUCAUUUCGGCGACGUGGCAUCCUAUUAAAAAGCGGGUAUCUGAGUAAUAUGUUGAUCAGGCAAACUUUUGAUGGAAAUUUUCGGAGAUUAGGAGUCUUUUUUAGAAAGUGUGUUAAACGUCAGACGUAGUUAUAUUCAUACAAUAACUACAAUUUGUAUUUGUUAUUUUGUUUUUAUAUCACCACAUUAAUUGUGGCAUUUCAAGUGUUUUAGUUGUUGAAAUCAGAGAAGAAGAAGUA